rnacentral:rRNA from 1 species
AUGUCUUGUGAGAAGUGCCAUAAAACAGCACAGCGACAUGGCCCUGUCUACAGGUGCAUUGACCCCACAUGUGCCUCCACCGACGCAAUGCCAAGAUAUCGCAUAUGCUUUAGAUGCACUAGCGAUUCAAGGGAGGCCGAGUUUAUUUUCUUCGACAGGGUUGGAAAAGAGAUUGUUGCCAAAUCUUUGAUCACUUUGCUGCAUGAAGGGUAUUCCAGUCGUACAACUCUUGAUGAGAUUGUUGAAAUAGCACGUGGAGACCCAGCCAUCCCUAAAUACAUAUCCACUUUGAUUGGCAAGAAGUAUAUAUUUGUGGUGUCUAUCUCUUCAAAGAGCUUUAUGCCUGAUGCCGAGGAGACAUCCUUCCAAGUUAUCAAGAUAGAUGUGCCUGUGGAAAAGACCUCGAGCUCUGCAGUUUUAUAUCGCAAGGCAGAUUCCUCUGGACCUUCUACUGGUGAUGUGGGGUGUCCUGGUUCUGGUGAUGUAUCACCCUUAGUGUUACCCGUUGGAAGCUUCUCUACCGAUACUGGUGCUUUUUCUCUUCCUGCAUUACCUGCUGGAUCUGUCUCGGUCCUGCCCAUCUCCGGUGAUCAGUCUGCAAAGGUUGUUGUUGCUCUUGGCUCUCAAUCGACCCUUGCUUCUCCGCCGUCUGUCAGUAAAAGUGGCUUGAAGAAAGGCCUUUCUAAAACCAAACUAACGAAUGCUGAUGUUCGCAAGCCUUUGUUCCCAGUUGACAAAUCUAAGGAAAAUGCAACGCUGGGCGAUGGUCCUGCUGUCCUAGGUGAAGAGGUGGACGGUACUACAAGCGAGGUGCCAUUGGCUGUUGAGGGCACCACCAUUCAAAAAACUAAAAAGGCAAGGAGGGCCUGA